CCUUUCAAUGCAGCAGAAUUGGGAUGAUUGAGUAUCUCGCCUCUCCGUUCUGCCUGUAUUCUACCCUUGUUUGUCAUAUACUAUUAUUUCCUCGGCAGGCUUGCCUGCCGAGUGAAACCAUUUAUAACCUUUUUAAUUUUCAAUCAGCGUCUGAAAAAAAUUAAUAAUUA
rnacentral:misc_RNA from 1 species